GAAGUGUUUGAGCAUCACAAGUCACCCUGGGCCUGCUCAGUGGAAUGACAAAGUUUGAAGAUUUCAACCCUUCCCAGCCUGCAGGAUGGUGCUGGGCUCCUGGGAGGAGUUUCUCACUGUGGUUUCCUCAACGAUUUUGGAUAGACAAGAGGUGCCUGGAAGGGGGAAUGGCCCCAGGGCAGGAUCCUCCCCCAGACUGGAUCCUGUGGCAGCACCCUGAGCUCCCUGCCCUGCCCUGGGCUGGCUGUGCCUCAACAGAGGGAGCUCAAACUCUGGCACUUGGAGCUGCUCAUCCCAGCAGGUUUGCAGUUUAUUAUGGGGUCAGAAAGAGUGUGGAGCAUGGAGAGUAAGAGAUGAGAGCAAGAAAGAGCUUAAAGAUCAGAGCUAAGGGGUAAGAGAGAAGAGAUCAGAGGUAAGAGAGAGAUUUCCCAUUCACAAUACAAUAAUUAUUCUUCUACAAUGAAUAUUCUAAUUUUCCAAUAACCAAUCUAAUACAAUAUACUAAUUUUCUAAUAUUUGCAUGCAACCUAUAGGAAUCACUAAAUUCCCAUGUUUUCUGGCUUUCUUAUCUGUAACCCUUAUCUUCAGACCUUUCCUGCCAGGCUGGGGACAGGAUGUCUGUUGGUUCUUUGGUAUUUGUGGCAUUUGGUAUCAUCUAAACAAAGGGAGAGGCCUCAAACCUUCACAUGACUGUUUUUAGCAUCUAUAUCAAAAUAAGCCAACACCUCUAUUUCAUUUAUUGUUUCAGAACUACUUGCUAAGC